UAAGGUUCUGUUAAUGUGCGAGGGUUGCUGGUCGGUGCAGACUCAGUGGGCCGAAGGGCCUGUUUCCGCACUGUAUUAGAAAAUUCUCGAUGUUAAUGCAAGUUUCUAAUGCUUUAUGAUUAGAUAAUGGUGAGCUCGGACUAUUAAAAUAUACAUUUACAUGAGCAAAAAAUAUUAGACACUAAGGCCAAUGUGGAAGCAUUGUUAGUCUGCAAAUGAUCAUGAGUCAGAAUAAAGUCACAGUAGCAAUGAAAUGAAAUGAGCCCCUGAGACAUCCAUUUUUGCAUUUUUCCACUGUAUACAUUUUUCAAUCAUCUGAGUGUUAUGUAUAUUGAAGAAGGUGAAAGGUCAGAUAGAACAAUUGAAGGUGAAAUGUGGAACAUUCCUCUCGACCCCACCAUAGGCUAUCAAAACAAGUCAAGGAAGCCACUCGGACUGAUAAACAUUGCAUAUUCUUCUCACACAUGGUGAAUUCCAUCCUAGUUCAGUAAUAGCCUCAGCUAACUCUUAGAAUUAUUUCCAAGGGAAAAAGAUACCUCACCAUUUCUUCCACAGAUGCUGUCUGACCCGCUGAGGUACUCCUGUACUUUGUGUUUUACUUAAGGUUCCAGCAUCUGCAGUGCCUUGUAUCUCCAUUCUACUACCUCACCCUCUAACUUGGUUCUGAUCUUAUAAAGUUAAAAAUGUGACCUUUUUUUCUCUAAUCUAUCUGGUUGAAAUAAAUAUUGGCAGAAACAUUAUCUUUAUCUUCGUAAUCAAAUCUCUCCUUAACACUGAGACUUAAGAAGGAAGAAUGAAG